AUACUUACCUGGACGGGGUCAAUGUAUGAUCAAGAAGGUCCAUGGCCUAGGCUUGGGACCUCCAUUGCACUUAGGAGGGGUGCUUGCUUAAGGUCUCCCCAAGAGGGAGAGCCUACAUCAUAAUUUAUGGUAGUGGGGACUUGCGUUCGCGCAGUCCCUC
rfam:Lupinus angustifolius cultivar Tanjil chromosome LG16, whole genome shotgun sequence.